rnacentral:rRNA from 1 species
GACGAACGCUGGCGGCGUGCUUAACACAUGCAAGUCGAACGGAAAGGCCCUGCUUUUGUGGGGUGCUCGAGUGGCGAACGGGUGAGUAACACGUGAGUAACCUCCCCUUGACUUUGGGAUAACUUCAGGAAACUGGGGCUAAUACCGGAUAGGAGCUCCUGCUGCAUGGUGGGGGUUGGUAAGUUUCGGCGGUUGGGGAUGGACUCGCGGCUUAUCAGCUUGUUGGUGGGGUAGUGGCUUACCAAGGCUUUGACGGCUAGCCGGCCUGAGAGGGUGACCGGCGACAUGGGGACUGCGAUACGGCCCAGAAGCGUACGGGAGGCAGCAGUGGGGAAUAUGGCAGAGUGGGCGGAAGCCUGAGGCAGCAACGCUGCGUGCGGGAUGACGGCCUACGGGUUGUAAACCGCUGUCGCCUGUGACGAAGCGUGAGUGACGGUAAUGGGUAAAGAAGCACCGGCUAACUACGUG